GGAGUUUCUCAAGUGCUAACGACUUUGUUUUGCUCAGAGCCCUCGUAUGGGUCAGUUUAAGUUCACCAAGAUGGACAGUGGCAGCAAGAUGGCUUCGCUCUUGCCAAGCUCCCUAUUCCCUUUUCCACACCCCUACGCCUGUCCCUAGCAUCCAGGGAUUUGUGCUCAACUUGAGGAAAUGAGACCGUGUGCUGCCACAGAGGAGAGGUUUGGGGACAGAUAGUGACGAGGACAUGUUCUGGCAGCUGUUGGGCUCAGGCUGCCUGUGGGCAAACAGACAAAGGCAGCAGCUGAUGAUGCAGAGGAUGGCUCUGCCCAGGGAGCCCCCUGGCUGGGGGACAGCAGGUUUUGGUCUCACUUGCCCCCUGGCCUGGGGCACUGUGGGGCCAUCGAGGCUGUCACCCCCGGCUGUGCAGUAAUACUCAGCGUCAUCCUCAGCCUGGAGCCCAGUGAUGGUCAGGGUGCCUGAGCUGCCAGACUUGAAGCCAGAGAUCUGAUCCGGGGCAGCAAUAGCCAUGAGAUUGGCAUAAGUGAAUACGGAUCUGGGGACCUUUCCUGGGAGCGGCUGGGACCAGUUCACACUGUUACCACCCCCGAUGUUGCUGCUGCUCCCAGUGCAGGAGAGGGUGACCCUCUGGCCCAGGGACCCAGACGUGGAGAGCAGCUGAGUCAGCACAGCCUGGGGCCAGGAUCCUGGAAGCAGGAGAGACAGAGAUGCUGAUUCUGGGGUGCAGACACAGGAGGAAGCAGGGCCCAGGGCUGUUCCCAGGCCCCCUCCCCUGUCCCUGUCCCCAGUCACCCGUGCAGUGAGCCAGGAGGGUGAGGAGCAGAGGGGACCAGGCCACGAUGCAGGCUGUCCUCGUGGCUGCUUGCUGUGGCCCCACAGCUGAAGCAGAGCGACCCCCAGUCUGUCCUUCCCCUCUUCUUACUCGGAGAGAGGGAGGGGCCCUGCAUGCCAAUGGCACCCCCAGCUCUGACCUCUCACUGGGCUCUAGAUCACGUUCCUCUGCUUCAGGGUGGCCUGGAGGUGGGCAGAGGCAUCGACGGGGGCGGGGGGCGGGGGAUCGGUGGGGAGUCCCCAGCUCGGAGCCCUGAACAGAGGGCAGGAGGCAGUGCUAGGUGGCUGGUCCCAGCUCUCAUCCCCAGAAACCCCCUCCACCCUGACGAAUGCACCCAGAGCGCCCCCUGGUGUCCAGACCCAGGCACAGCAUGUGACCUGGUGACCAGAGCCCCUCAGGGACAGGUCUUUCCCCCUGCUCUGAACACUGUCCCCUGCCUUAGGGACAAGGCAGUUGACGCUUUGUGUCCCCUGUCUCCUCAGAGCCUCUGUGUGCUCCCCUCACACCCCUCAGGGUGAGUCUUGAGGGUGCCCUUGGCUGCUCAGGGGUCAGGACUGAGGGGGCUUCUGGGGCACAAAUUCCUCUGAGAUCAAGAUCAAGUCAGAGCAGUGAUGGCUUCCUGGAGGCAGGUCCCCUUCUGUGCAGGGUGCCUGGUCCCUUCCUCUGUGUGGCUCCUCUUUGGAGGUCAGAGCCCUCCUUCCUGUGUGGCCCUCAGCUCUGAGGAGAAGGGGGCUCUUCUGUGUAGAGACGUGAGGCUGUGGGAGGACGGCCUCAGAUGCUCCUGGAAGCUGGUGACGCGUCAUUCCAAUCCUGGAAGCGGGACGGCAGGGUGUCACAGAACACGCAAGACUCUUACACCUGGAAAGUGUGGGACCAGGAGGCACUCUGGUCCACAGAACAAAGGCGCCUGGGCUUUAGCCCACAGGACUCUUAUUAAGGAAGGUGAUGAGCUUGUUAGUAGUGGGAUUAAGGAAGGUGACAAGGUUAGUGGGCAGGAACAGGCAUAGGCAAUAAGCAGGUUAUCUUCUUAGUGAUAUCCAAGGGGGUAUCCUUAGGACACAGUGCAGCUGUUUAUGGAAUGACAUGGUUAAUGCAUAAGUCCUUUAUCUUGUCUUUGGAGGACACUUGGUACUUCAGAACUCUGUGUCCAUAGAUAUUUGCCUUCUGCAGAGUUCAGCUGUUCCGUGGUCCCCAACAGUGGUGCUGAGGGAAUCCUCACUGUAUUUCAAUAUUUCCCCUCACUUGCUCACUAGAGUCACCCAGGGAGAUUUUUCCCCCUUUUUUAGCCGCACCCCAAGCAUAUGGAAGUUCUGGGGCCGGGGAUCAAAGCUGAGCCGCAUCUGUGACCUGCACCAUAACUGUGGCCGUACUGGAUCCUUAACCGAUGGCACCACAGCGGGAACUCAGGGGUUUUUUAAGAACAUGACUCCCUCCCUGGAAUGUGUUCUCCAGGCACAGGGCACAGUGUGCAGGAAGCCAGGCCCAGUGACCUUCUUCAUAACAUUUAGCUUGAACGUCUCACUGGCUCUGAGCAGUGUCUUUUCCCAAAUGAGCCCAACGUGUGGUAGCUGUUAGGAUCAACCAUCCCAAACAGAGCGUUUGAAAGAAAUAAUGUUUGUACCCAAGAAUGACUGCCAUUGGCACUGUUUAAAAAGAAGAAAAAGUUAUGUUCUUUUAGCUAAAAAUAACGUACACUCUACACCAUAUUUUUUUAAAAGGUAACUUUAACCACAAACAAACAAACAAACAAACAAAGACAAACCUUGCCAAAAAAUUACCAUAAGAUCAAACCUUAAAAAUCACUGGUCCUUUGAGUUCCCUCCGGGCUCAGCAGGUUAAGGAUCUGGUAUUUUCAUUGCUGUGGUGAGAAUUUGAUCCUUAGCCCACCCAGUCAUAC
rnacentral:lncRNA from 1 species